GAGAAAAGGCCACCAAGCCCACCUGUGGGGAUCUUUUGGAAGUGAGCACGGCCAAAUCCGUGAAGAUGGCGGCAGUUCGGCUUGGAGGAGCAGAAAGGGGCUGGCCAGUGACCUCCAGGGAUCCUCCUAUCUCCGUCCUGCCAAGCCCUGGCGUGACCAAUGCGUGCCACCGUGCCCAGCUCCUUAAUGAGGUCCAAACUCGGGUAAUCAGCCUUGCAGGGCAGGCACCUACCAGCUGAUGCAGAACGGCAGGGCUUGGGUGAGAAUCUGCGAUGCAAAAAUCCACCGCUUCCCGGGGAGAGGGGGAGCACACCCCCUUGCAACUCACCUCUGCCUCGGCACCUGGAGGGUUGGCGGUUACUCUGACUAGAACGGCGGCCUGUGUUCACAAUUGCUCAUAAAGUUACCAGGGAGCC